rnacentral:tRNA from 1 species
CGGGGUAUGGCCCAGUCCGGUUAAGGCGCCUGCUUUGGGAGCAGGAGACCGCAGGUUCGAAUCCUGCUACCCCGACGA